rnacentral:rRNA from 1 species
UACAGAGGUCCCAAGCGUUGUUCGGAUUCAUUGGGCGUAAAGGGCGCGUAGGCGGACUGCCAAGUCCGGGGUGAAAUCUUUCGGCUUAACCGGAAAAGGGCCUUGGAAACUGGCGGUCUCGAGGGAGGUAGGGGCCUGUGGAACUUCGGGUGGAGCGGUGAAAUGCGUUGAUAUCCGAAGGAACGCCGGUGGCGAAAGCGACGGGCUGGAUCUCUUCUGACGCUGAGGCGCGAAAGCCAGGGGAGCAAACGGG